GCUUCCGCUUUCUAGUGCAUCGUUCAUUGCAGCGGUGUUGAAAUUGUUAAAAGUUGCAAAUAUUGCACCUUUCCCCCAUUGUAGUUGUAGUUUUUUAUAUAGAUAAAAUAUUGUGCAUGGAGUAUUUGGCAUAAGCACAUAAACGAAGUCUGCUAUGUUCGAAGGGAAUGCCUUGUCAGCCAUGCAGACGUCUCACUGCCACACUCCUCUAAACAAUUACAGUCCUCAAGAGCUGGCCUUUGAAAUCAAGGCUUUCAUAAGUGGAGUUGACCAGACGCAGGGACGUAAACUCAGCGUUCGGGAUCAUGCCCGCUGUGCAGUGCGCCUCCUUCGAACUGUCCCAGCCUGCCGUGGAGCCGUCUUGGAGCACUUAAGGGGAGUGUAUGAUGAAUAUGUUGCAGCUUUUCUGCAAGACCUAGAGGCAGAGGGUGAAAACAGUGGUAACAGUACAAGUGGAGGAGGCAGCACCAGUGUAUCCAAUUUGGAGGACGUUAUUAAAGAAAUCCAUGCAGUCCUCUCUGAAUUUAUCAAACUUAGUCCUAAAGCUUGGGCUCCCCUUGUGUCCACAUGGGCCGUUGACCUUCUUGGUCAGCUUAGCAGCAAGCAUGCAGGACGAAGGGCGGCUCCUCACUCGUCCAGUCUGAAUGAGCUGCUGCAGCUUUGGAUGUCGUGUGCAGCCACUCGCUCACUAAUGGAGUGCUACUCCCAGUGUCUAGCAGCCAUGUUGGCCUGGUGCCCCGAUGCCUGUGUGGAUGCCUUGCUGGACACCUCUGUCCAGCACUCCCCUCAUUUUGACUGGGUCGUUGCCCACAUUGGUUCAGCUUUUCCUGGCACUAUCAUCAGCAGGGUGCUGGCUUGUGGCCUCAAAGACUUUUAUGCGCACGGAUAUUCCUCUGCUGAGAAGAUCAACCAACAGCAGGCAAUAGACAAGAGCAACAGAGUCCCCAAAAUAGGCUCAGUGGUUGGUAUCCUUGGGCACUUGGCAUCCAGACAUUCUGAUAGCAUCAAGAAAGAGCUUCUCAGGAUGUUUCAGAAUAGUCUGUCUCCACCCCCUCAAAAUGUACCUCCGCAUUCAUCCGGGGCAGGCGGGUGGGAGAACUCCCCUCAUCUCCGUAGGGCCACUGUACCUUUUUUGCUUCAACUGGCUGCUCUUUCCCCCACUCUCCUGGGUGCUGUUUCUGCAGAACUGGUGGAGUUUCUCAGUCCGCCCAUCCUAAUUCAACUCCAGGCUCAGUUCCAGGCCUUUCCCCGGGAGGAGCUCGAGAAUAUGUUGGGUCUAGCGGUGCAUCUCAUAAGCCAAAGCCCUUCGGGUGGAGCAAGGGUGCUGAAGUUCCUUGCAGACACUGCUACACCAUCUUCAGUGAUCAUAUCAGGCCCUACACCCUCUCCCCAUGAUAGUAUUCGAGAAGCCUGUGACCGCUUACUGCAAAUGCUUCUGCUACAUCUUCACAAGCUGGUGCACAACAGACCAGAGGGUGAUGAACCCUUCCCACAGUCCUCUGCUGCCACAGCAAUGCUGCAAGUUAUCCCAUUUCUAGAGGAGCUCCAGGGACACAUAGGUGAUCUGUGUGCUGAAACCCUCCGGCUUGAGCGGAAAAGGCAUCUCUGGUUGCAUCAGCUCCUGUGUCUGCUAUCAGUGUAUGGAGGCCCAAGCAUGGCCACUGAAGCUUUGUGUCAGCUCUUCACCCAAGCCCGAAACCCAGAGGAGCUUGCUCUGGCCUCGCAAUUGUACACCCCACUUUCCACGUCACUUUCAGGGUUGCUUUCUUCAACAAUAUCCCGCUGUGUUGCCCAGAUCCACACUCAAACCCUUGACAACAAAGAGUUGGCUCAGCUCCUGAACAACCUGGCUACUGCGGUACAAAGUCAAGAGGAGGACCGUAAAAACAGAGUGGCUGCAACGGGGAGUUCGGCUCAGUCAUCGAUGGCCGCACAAGUCAGAGUCGCCGUCUCCAGCCACCUUCAGGAUUUCUGCCCAUUGCUUCUCCAUGGUGACACCAUGGUAUCCAAGGCGGCCGUCCAUCUGCUUUCGUGUAGCCAGCUUCCCAGAACUUGCUCUCCAGCUCAUCUGUUGCUGAUAUGUAGAGCAGCGGUGUCUCACUUCUUUGUUUGUUUACGACAGCAAGAGGAGGAUCUUAGGGUAGGGGAAGAGGAAGUGGGCUACUCCAUGCGACUGCUGUCACAUCUUGCAGCCUACUCUCCCUUGACGCUUAAAGCUGUGCUGCAACAACUGGUGGAGGGAGCCCUGCACAGAGGCAACCGAGAUUUGUUUGGAGGUCUGCAGGAGAACCCAGGUGAUGACACCACACAGUCAUCCAACCUUGUUCCAGACUUAGGCAUCUCCCUCUUGGACAUCAACUGCAAAUUUGGCACCUCUGUUAACUUCUCUGGUGGUGUGUGGUCCGUUUUCCACGCUGGAGUAAUCGGAAAGGGUCUGAAACCUCCAUACUCUCCUUCACAACCUGACCCAGAUAGAGUCAAUCAGAACAUGCAGACCUUGUUUGCGGUCAUGGUUCAGUGCUGUAGUUCAGGUGGAGGAAGCCCUAAUGGCAAUGCUAGAAAUGGUUCAGCUGGAGAUACUGAAAAUAGCCGCUUUGCUGUCAGUGAACCUUUCGUUUCUGAUGAACUUCCCCCAGUUAAUGCUGAAGCUGCAAAGGUAAUUGCUGUAACUCUGGUGGAGAACAUUUGUCCGGAUGUAGCAAAUGGAGAACUGUCCUGGCCUCCAGAAGAACAUGCGAAAACCACUGUUGAGCGAGACAUACACAUUCGUCGUUGCUUUGAAGGAAAUCCUGUUCUGUUCCAUCUUCUCCGUGUAGUUGCAGCUGGACGUCCAGCUCUCUGCUACUGCUCCGUCAUUUUAAGGGGUCUACUUUCCACCUUACUUGCUCACUGGGAAGCAUCAAGGGAGCCAUCAGUGUUGGACUCCCCCUGGCAUCUUCAGACCUCCUGUUUGCUUGUAUCAUGUAUGGGUGAAGGCCAGCUGCUACCACCAGUGUUGAGUAACAUCCAUGAGGUUUUCCCUCACCUCUCACCCUUUGAAGUUAGGUUACUGCUGUUGGGUGUAUGGGAGUACAUGUGGGGGAACAGCCCAAUGCCGCAGAAGUUCACCUUCUGUGCUGACCAAGGACUUUUCUUUCGGGACUUUUCACGGGACGGCGAUGUUGCACGCUAUAUUGCACCCAUCCACAGUGUUCUGCAUAAGAACAUUGAGCGCCUGGGACACCUUUGUUGGAGGUUCCAAAUUUGACAACUGUUAAAAUGAGAGAAGUGGUGUUAUAAACCCGGGUUCUAAGGUCACAGACUUCUUGCAUUUAGAUAUUUUUCUACAUAUUGUUAACUUAGAUGUGAAGUUAAUAUUUCUACGUUUUAAGAGUUGUCAAUGUCAAUAAAAUAGUAACAGAUAACCACUUUAAAGCCUAAUUGUGACAGUGUUAGGAACUGCUUUUCUGUUAACCAUCAGAUCUGUUUUUGUACAUUUAUAUUGUCUAGCUUUCUGUAGAUUUUUUAAGCACUGAAAAAAGGUUUAUGCCUACAGCAGAAUGUACGAGACCUCAAAAAUUCUGUUUUUGUAAUUCUGCACAUUGUUUGUUGUUGUUGGGUGACCAUAAAAAUAAAAAUGCAUUAAUAUACCUCUUAUUCUGUUGUUAAUUUUACAGUAAUAGCACUAUAGUUAUAAAAUGAAAAGGUAAAAGCUACAUAAAAGGAAAGGCUGCGUGGUUUUAACCAAUGGCAUACACAGGUUUUGUGCUGUUAGUAGGCCAUGUCUAAUCUUUAUCAUCAAAGAUCUGCCUAGUUAAAACAAACUAGAACUCAACAUGAAACGAACCAAUGAUGCCUGCCUAUCUGUGAUAUAAUAUAGUCAUCACACAAUUAUCUUGUGUACACAAGCAUACACCACAGAUGGAUUCGUUUCCAUGGUAAGUGCGGUCUAUAGGGAUUCGUUGUUACCCAAUAGUGUUCCUGCAAACACACUAACCAACCAACCUCCGGGAGGCUGGGCUUAACGCUGUGUGUCCAAGAUGGCGGUUAUCUCCAUUGAAAGCUAUCCGACGGGCGGCUCGUGUGAGAUCUGGUCUGUAAAUCUGCUGCAGCUGCCAUUCUGCCAGGUCCUGUGA